GACUUUUUGAAAGCGCAGUAGGCUUUCCAUUAUCAGCCUCAUACAUAUUUUGUUGUACGCUCUUUGGCUUCAUGAUAUAAAACAGUACAUGGUAAGAAGACAAUGUUUUUAAUCGUAAAUUCUCAGUUCUACAGAAUGGAGUUUUGAAAUUUUCUUAAUACAUCAAAUCGAGUCUCGCCACAGCUGCCGAAGUCGACUCUACCUCAUAACUCAGCUCAGAGAUGCUGUCGAUCGAAUUCUCACGAGCAUUGCCAAACAAACCUAGACUGUCCAUGGAGAGGCUCGGCUUGCAGAAAAUUGGACUCGAAAAUGAAGAUAGUUGGGCUGAACACAUUGGACUCGAUUUACUUGACGAGUCUGUUGUUGACUGCAAACCGAAUUGAAUUUGAUUAUAAUAGAAUAAAUUAUUCAUAAUACACAGUAAAUUCAAUACGAA